AGGAACACGGGCCAUUGAACUCUGCGGGGGGAUCAUUA
rnacentral:rRNA from 1 species